UUUACCUACGGGAGGCAGCAGUGAGGAAUAUUGGUCAAUGGACGAGAGUCUGAACCAGCCAAGUAGCGUGAAGGAUGACUGCCCUAUGGGUUGUAAACUUCUUUUGUCGGAGAACAAAACCCGGGACGUGUCCCGGACUGCGUGUAUCCGAAGAAAAAGCAUCGGCUAACUCCGUGCCAGCAGCCGCGGUAAUACGGAGGAUGCGAGCGUUAUCCGGAUUUAUUGGGUUUAAAGGGUGCGUAGGCGGUCCGUUAAGUCAGCGGUAAAAUUGCGGGGCUCAACCCCGUCGAGCCGUUGAAACUGGC
rnacentral:rRNA from 1 species